GGGGGAAAGGGAGGAGUACGAGUAAGUUGGAAGAAGGGAAAAAAGAGGAUAGGGCGGUGGAGCAACAGUUGGGAAGAGAGGCAGCUGAGAGGCUACGUGCUCCAGUGAACUAUUCUCCAGAACCCAUCUCAUCUAGUGAUUCAAAGCCUUUUCCUUACUGUGGUCUCGCCCACUCUGCUUGUAGCCUUGCUGUGACUGGUGGAGGAGCAUACAGCUGAAGAGUCAUACACAAAUAUGAGGCUCACUCAUCACUUCUUCAAUCAAGAUGUGAAUUUCUACCAGAUUUAACGUUUGGAAGAGUCACACCACAAUGAAUGGAUGAGAGAGACGAGCGAGAGAGCGAGAGAGCGAGAGAGAGAAUCAACACAAUCACUUCAGCGGCUGCAGUACACAUGGAUCCAGAGGAUUGAGAGGAGGAGAGGGACACACGGUGGUUUCCUUCCCCACUCCGAGGCCACGAUGCUGGGCUUAUCCCGUCGCCGGCUCCUGCCUGCUCCAGAGUUCAGCUGGAGAAGACGAUGCUAGGCAGCUAAAUCUGGAUUAACAGACCUGGGCAGACGAUUUUCAAUGCUCCUCCAAAUUCUAAGAUGAAGUUAUGGAAAGGCGCCAGUUUUGUCUUCAUGCUGUGUGCUACGUUACUGUUCCUCCUCCUCACUAGAAACAUCCUGGUUACUACUGGACCUGCAAGACUUCAACCUAGGAUGGCGUUGUCGUCAUCAUCUUCAUCAUCACCAUCAUCAUCAUCAUUAUCGUCAAAACCACUGUCACUAUCAGUGACAAAGCCAAUACCACCUCCACCACCAUUAUCUUCAGUAGCAUUAUCAUCAUCAUCACCAUUAUUAUCAUCAUCAUCAUCAUCAUCGUCUUCCUCCUCAUCCAGGAUAAAGGCUGGGCUCCACAGAACAGUGCGGGCUGUAGACACCAUCAGCUCUCUCCUCUCCCAGUGUAAGUUAAAAUAAACAGUUUUUGUUUCCAUAGUCACCGGGGUGUUAUAGAUGAGGUGGUGUGGGGAACGGUUGUCAUGGCGCUGACAGUGUGGCUUAGUGACUCCGGUUGAGUC